UGGGGAAUAUUGGACAAUGGGCGAAAGCCUGAUCCAGCCAUGCCGCGUGGAUGAUGAAGGCCUUAGGGUUGUAAAGUCCUUUCGGCGGGGAAGAUAAUGACGGUACCCGCAGAAGAAGCCCCGGCUAACUUCGUGCCAGCAGCCGCGGUAAUACGAAGGGGGCUAGCGUUGCUCGGAAUCACUGGGCGCAAAGCGCACGUAGGCGGCUUCUUAAGUCAGGGGUGAAAUCCUGGAGCUCAACUCCAGAACUGCCUCUGAUACUGAGGAGCUUGAGUCCGGGAGAGGUGAGUGGAACUCCGAGUGUAGAGGUGAAAUUCGUAGAUAUUCGGAAGAACACCAGUGGCGAAGGCGGCUCACUGGCCCGGUACUGACGCUGAGGUGCGAAAGCGUGGGGAGCAAACAGGAUUAGAUACCCCUGUAGUCCCUGAGCGGGCUGGCAAGGCGCAU
rnacentral:rRNA from 1 species